ACCUUUCAGCAAGUGCAUGAACCAUGAAGCACAGCUUUUCUAACACCAACAAGGCCUGAAUUAAAAGCAAAGAGGUACCUGCCGCAACAGAGGAAGAAAGAAGGCAGACCAUGGGAGUUUGCAACCAACACACUCCAGAUGGGACUUCGAUAAAAUCAUUGGCUGAUGCUGAUUGGAUGCCCUGUCCUGUGCCAUCUCUGACACGGGUUGAUCCUUGCCCAGUGCAAACAGAUGGGGGAUUGUCUCCAGUGUCAAUGAGCACACCAGUUGUUGAUGUUCUGUGUUGGGAAUUAUUACUCAAGGAGCAACAAAACACAAUAAAAAUAAUUCACCAUGAACGAUUCCUCUAUGAAGUCUGUGAAUAACGUGGAAAAUGAUGGCGAUGUUUGUUAAGUGAAGAAAGUAGACCCUGGAAUUCCUUAUGUGAGGGAGGCUGCAGUGUUCGUGGUGGAGUACUGGUGUGGGCAGUCAGGAAGGUGGCCACCACCCCUCACCGUGGACCCGGGGUGAUUUGAAUUGAAGAAAUUGCACUUUAAAAAUUAAAAUGUUCUGUUACAUCUGGUUCUUAAAGAGCUUUAAAUACUAUUUAUUUUUAUAUUUUGUGUUCAGUGUUUUGCCUGCAUGGGUAUGUGUACCAUGUGUGCACCUGGUGCCUGCAGAGGUCAGAAGGAGCACAGGUUCCCAUGUCUUGGCAUUACAGAUGGUUGUAAGCGAUUGAUGGGUAUUGAAACUGGGACCUCAAAAAGAGCAUCUUUUAGCGCUUAGCUACUGAGACACCACUCCAGAACACCAGCAUAUCUUUAUAAUGAAAAUAAUUAGUAAGCAUGAUAACCCACAAGGUUGUCAGACAUUACGGAGAUGGGGAAAUAAGACUAUGCAUGAUCUUUAAGGUUUAACUUUGAAACAUCCUAGCAUUUUGUCUUGUUAUUUCCUGACUAGCCCUGUCUGUUUAACAAUAAAUUUCCUAAAACAUAAAGUCGUGAGGGAGUA
ensembl:lncRNA